CUCAGAAUUCUUCCCAGUGCAUUAUUUAAAAUUUUUUAUUUAUUAUUAUUUUUGGUUGCACUGAGUCUUUGUUGCCGCAUGUAGGCUUUCUCUAGUUGCAGUGAGCAGGGGCUUCUCUUUGUUGCAGUGCUUAGGAAGCCUAAGAGAAGCAGUAGCUUCUCUUGUUGCGGGCAACAGGCUUUAGGCAUGUGGGCUUCAGCAGUUGCAGCCUGAGGGCUCACUAGUUGCGGUGUGAGGCUCUAGGGCUUAUGGGCUUCAGUAGUUGCAGGACACAAGCUCAGCAGCUGUGGCUCGAGGGCCUUACAGCUCGGGCUUUAGUAGUUGUGGCACAUGGGCUUAGCUACCCCACAGCGUGUGGGGUCUUCCCACACCAGGGAUUGAACCCACGUCCCCUGCAUUGGCAGAUAGAUUCUUAACCAUUGGACCACCAGGGAAGUCCUGGACUGAGCCUUUCGCUGAGGGAGACACGGGCGUCCUGUCUCUCUCCCUCUGCCUCUUGCACGCUUCUAGAGCGUAUCGUGCCUCCCUAUUCGAAUCCCCAUGGAGGUGCCCCACCACCUGGAGGAAGAAGGUCGAAUGUCUCAGCUCAGCCACUGAUGUCCACCAGGAUCCUCCUCUGUGCCUUGUCCCUGCCCCUUAGGCAGGACCCACUGCCUAAGAGCACCCUGUUCCUGUUCCAGGGACACCUGCCUGAAGACCUUAUCCUACUCACUCCAGAAAUGUCCAUCCACCCUCCUCCCACGGUGCCUCUGUCCUGGGCAUUGCCCUGCACUUCAUUGCAUUGUGUUAUCUUGACCCCUGGACUCCUUUCACCCCUCCACGCCCCCUGCCAUGACAUCCCAGGUCCUGUUGAAGCUGGGGAGCUGGAAGAAGUGUGCGUGGAGGUGACAGCGGAGGAGCUGGGUGAAGGUGGAGGCAAGGAGAGACCAGUGGAGGUGGUACCUGGAGAGAUGGACCAGCACGUUUGCGAAAAAGAGUGUGAGAUUAUGAAUGCAAAAUUACUGGGAAGUAGCAAGAACAGCAGAAAGCAGCCAAGACAAGAAUAAAUGCAUUCCAUAAAUAGAUGAAUGAAAAGCUAUUACAUGGGUGUGAAAAACUUCAGGAGUUUGGAAAACAUUUCGGAAGUUCUUCAAAAACUUAAGCAUGGUAUGACUCAGGAAGCUCAAACAGGGGCUCUGUAUCAACCUAGAGGGGUGGGAUGGGGAGGGAGAUGGGAGGGAGGUUCAAAAGGGAGGGGAUCCAUGUAUACCUGUGGCUGACUCAUGUUGAGGUUUGAUGGAAAACAGCAAAAUUCUGUAAAGCAAUUAUCCUUCAAAAACAAAAAAAAAUAAAAAAUAAAAACUUAAGGACCUCCUAGGUGGUCCAGUGGUUAAGAAUCUGCCUGCCAAUGCAGGGGACACAGGCUUGAUCCCUGGUCUGGGAAGAUCCCACAUGCUGCAGAGAAACUAAGCCCAUGAGAUGCAGAACCACUGAAGCCCUCACACCCUACAGCCUGUGAUCCACAGCAACAGAGGCCACUGCAAUGAGAAACCCGUGCACCUCAGCUAGAGAGAAGCCCCCACUUGCUGCAACUGGAGAAAGCCUUGGAGCAGCAACAAAAAUCCAGGGUGACCAAAAAAAAAUUGGUGAAAACAAUCCAAAUGUUCAUAAACAGAUGAAUAGAUACACAAAAUGUGGUCCAUCCAUACAACGGAAUGUUUUUCAGUCAUAAUAAGGAAUGGGGGUAGUUCUGGGAAUUCCCUGGAGGUCCAAUGGUUAGAACUCAGUGCUUUAACUGCCAAGGAACUGGGUUCAGUCCCUGGUCAAGGAACUGCUGCUUCUGCUGCUGCUGCUAAGUCGCUUCAGUCGUGUCCGACUCUGUGCGACCCCGCAGACGGCAGCCCACCAGGCUCCUCUGUCCCUGGGAUUCUCCAGGCAAGAAUACUGGAGUGGGUUGCCAGUGGUCAGGGAACUAAGAUCCCACAAACAAACAAAUAAAUAAAAGAAGAAUAAAAAAGGGAGUGGAGUUUUGAAACCUAUUAUACCAUGAAUGAACCUUGUGACGUCGCAGAAGUCAGUUUACAAAAUAUCCCGUGUUAGUGGAUUUCAUUUAUAUGAAAUGUCCAGAACAGGUGAAUCUAUAGGGGCAGAAAGUAGAUUAGUGGUUGUCUAAGGCUGGGGAGAGGCUUCCCAGGUGGUGCUAGUGGUAAAGAACCCUCCUGCCAAUGCAGGAGACACGGGUUUGAUCCCUGGGUCAGGAAGAUGCCCUGGAGAAGGGGAUGGCAACCCACGCCAGCAUUCUUGCCUGGGAAAUCCCAUGCACAGAGGAGCCUGGCGGGCUACAGUCCAUGAGAUUGCAGAGUCAGACACGACUGCAGCGACUUAGCAUGCAAGGCUGGGGAGAAACGGGGAAAUUUGGGGUGAUGAAUACAGGAUUCAGAUUUCUUUUGGGGGUGAUGAAAACCUUCUAAAAUUGACUGUGGUAAUCGUUCACAACACUCCUAUUUUUUUUUUUUUUUUGACCACACCACAUGGCUUGUGGAAUUGUGAUUUGCCAACCAGGGAAUGAACCUGGGCCCCAGCAGUGAAAGUGAAAGCAAGGUGUCCUAACCACUGGGCCGCUGGGGAUUCCCAUCACGGUAUCUUCUAGAAACCACCACUGCUCCCCCAGCUACUCUCCCAGGUUGGUUUAGGGCCUCUGUUCAGCUGCCCUCAUUCAGCCCUGCAUCUCCCAUGAGGCAGCUUCUAUGACUCAGGGAGAUGUUGGAACAAAACAAGCAGGCUGUGAAGGACGAGAAAAGCCAGAUGUGGGGUGAGUCCUGGAGGCUGAUGGCAGCUUGGAAAAGGAGGGAAAGACUCCCCGAGAGGCAGUUCCAUCCCUUGGCCAAGAUCCCAGGGGGCCUCAG
ensembl:lincRNA